CCAGCGUCCACAGCCUGAGAAGCAGGGCGCUUUUACUGGGCUUUACAUCCAAAUUAUUGCUGAACAGGGAAAUAGAGAUCCCUGAGAGUGUUGUCAUCGGAAACAAAGGGGGGCUUCUUCUAUAGCUAUGACGGUGCACUGAAAUUCUAGCCAACUGAGAUGAGACAGAAGAAUAGUCUGGGUAGCGGAUAGGGGUAACCAUUCACUUAUUUCGGUAAAGAAUGAAGUGCUGAAAAUCCUAUUAGUACUAAGUUUAGUUGGAGAACUUAAAUCAGCCUCUUUUUGAUAAUUCUAAAAUUAAAAUCCUACUGUCCUCACUCACGAAAGCAAACAAUAAGGAUGUCCAUUCUAACCCUGAUCCCAGCACUGGAAGAGAAAUACUUUAUAAAGAAGCAAGCAAUUAUGAGGUUGUCUUUAUGUCAGUAGGGAAAAAAUAAAUGGUAAUAAAAGUACCAGUGUAGCAAAGGAAAGCCGUUUAUAGCAUUGUGCGCUUAAGUAGCAAAAUCAGGUCCUCGGCAACGAGAACCCAGCCUCAGUCAGUUUCUGGAUCCAUGUGCCGACAGCCAGGCUGCUCCUUCCUCAGCACAUCGCAGCCUCCUUUCCUAAGUGCCAGGGAGGCCUGGAGGGAGGGCUGGGGGCCGGGCUCCCUCCACGGGGGUGACACUGUGCCCCGUCUGCCCAGCUCCAGUGCACACCCGCUGCCACCCGCUCCGCUUCCCGUGGUUGCCGAGCCAGCCAGCAGGACUCCCCUCACCCGGGUUUAGUCCCAAGUACAUUGUUCUUUUAGGUUUCAUGUUGAAAAGCCAAGUGGUCUAAGUGAUUUUUUCUGUCCUAGAUACAAGCUUCAAUAAAGGAAAGCAAAGAUGAUGAAACAGCAGGACCAGUCUAAAAAUCACUGUAGAGUUGCCGCUUUAUGUUUACUGUCAGUCCGGUGUUAAGUGAAUCUUUCAGGCUACACUGAAAAAAGUAUGCACUUAAAACUUAGUCUAGGGAAAGUGAGUGUCGGGCUGUGGAUAAAUUGAUUGGCGUGCGUGGGAACCCUGAGCCACGUGGAUGGAAGCGAAUGACUCCUGCCUGAUCCCGCGGCUCUUUGCCCCAUUUGGAAGGAAUCAAAGGAUGUGGGUAAAAUUUGCAAAGAGAUUUUUCCCUCGUCAUAGGCAGACAGCGUUGGCUAUGUUUUUCAGCUCAGGAAACUGGAAUGUCCUGCCCCUCCUCCGCUCCAUCAGACGCACGUACACUGAACACAGCAGUAAGAUCUCCCCGUCCUAGAAACCUGGGUCUGACCACAAAGCAAGGCAGCAGACUCGCUCUUGAUUCUCACCAGUGGACCACUCAGCUCCUUUGCUGACUUUAAGUCAAAAUAGCAAGACAGAAUUAGCUGCUAAAACUGUUCUGCUCUACAUUAGCGUGUAGGAAAAUGAAAAAGCUCUCACCUCCAUCCCCUUCGAAAAACUUCAUGGUCCACACUGAUCCUUGCUGGGCCUGAGCAGGAGACGCGUGCCGCCCACACUCCUUGUCCUGCUCGCGUCUGUCCCGGCGACCCUCCGCAGGGGAGCCUUGUAGCAAGUCCCCACUAUGGGGCCUGUCCCACCGCUUCCCGCCACAAGGAGAACUGUCACUUUGCUAGUUUCAGUUCAGGUUGGAAAAAAUACCACACGAGAAUCUGGUUUGCUUUUAGUAAGUAGGCAGAAAGUGAAAAUUGUAUAAUUUUCAUCACGUUUUAUUGUUUUAUCUAAAAUGAUUGUACAUGUGGUUUGUGAACUGGGCCCUUAUUUGUGCCAGAUCCUUCAACGACGUUCCAUGUAAGGACACACGCGGUCACUUCUCCCGUCCUCAGACGCCGUCCCACUUGGCACUCACGCCCCUUGUAUGCAGUGUUAGCCAUCUUUGGCCUAUGUGGACUUUUUUUGUAAAUUACACAGUUUCCAGAUGGCAUUAAACUUUUUAUAUUACGAAAUUUACCAUGUAAAAAGAACUUCCUAUUUUUAUUGAGACUGCUAAGGCACUUGGCCUUCCUUUGUGAUUUCAGUGUCUAUUAAAGCAUGAGCUCCCUCGGUUUUAAGAGCUGUAUCUGACUCACUUUCUAUGCACAUCCCACACGUUUUCUGGGUUACUUUGCGGUACACAGUGCGGUCGUGUGUCGUUAAUCCAUGUGUCUCCAUCUGGAGUUUCUCUUCUAGACGCACUGUAGCCCCACGUUAGCCAUGAGAGCCUGAGAAAGUGCGUGGCUGCCCCGAGGCUCCGGUACCUGUGGGUGGUGGUAACUGAGACGCUGAAUGCUUCUGAUCUUGUGUGAUCAUAGCUGGAGGGCCAGAGAACCCUACGGUUGUAGAGACAGAUAAAAACAAUUCAUUACCACCAGACCCCUGUAUCUAAAGAAACUUUCCGAGAAAUAUUUGAGAAAGAAGGAAAACAGUCCUAAAG
rnacentral:lncRNA from 1 species